rnacentral:misc_RNA from 1 species
GUGAAUCAUCAAAUUUUUGAACGCAAAUUGCACUCUCCUCGGAGAGUAUGCCUGUUUGAGUGUCAGCCUAUAAAAAAUCGACAUCGUUUCUGUUUCUCGUUGGCGUUCGUCGGAAGUUGGGUCAUCUUAAAUCUUUUGUUUUUAAGCGACUUAAAAUUUUCUUUUUGGUUCCAUGAACGUUUCUAAGAUUUAUUUCUUUACACGUUUAUGGUAUCGAUUUUUAUUAGACUUGGACAUCAUAUCGAAUUGCGCCCAUAUUCUUUCAUUAACU